GAUGAACGCUGGCGGCGUGCUUAACACAUGCAAGUCGAACGAAGCACUUUAUUUGAUUUCCUUCGGGACUGAUUAUUUUGUGACUGAGUGGCGGACGGGUGAGUAACGCGUGGGUAACCUGCCUUGUACAGGGGGAUAACAGUUGGAAACGGCUGUUAAUACCGCAUAAGCGCACGGCAUCGCAUGAUGCAGUGUGAAAAACUCCGGUGGUAUAAGAUGGACCCGCGUUGGAUUAGCUAGUUGGUGAGGUAACGGCCCACCAAGGCGACGAUCCAUAGCCGACCUGAGAGGGUGACCGGCCACAUUGGGACUGAGACACGGCCCAAACUCCUACGGGAGGCAGCAGUGGGGAAUAUUGCACAAUGGGCGAAAGCCUGAUGCAGCGACGCCGCGUGAGCGAAGAAGUAUUUCGGUAUGUAAAGCUCUAUCAGCAGGGAAGAUAAUGACG
rnacentral:rRNA from 1 species